AUUGAACGCUGGCGGCAGGCCUAACACAUGCAAGUCGAACGGUAACAGGAAGAAGCUUGCUUCUUUGCUGACGAGUGGCGGACGGGUGAGUAAUGUCUGGGAAACUGCCUGAUGGAGGGGGAUAACUACUGGAAACGGUAGCUAAUACCGCAUAACGUCGCAAGACCAAAGAGGGGGACCUUCGGGCCUUUUGCCAUCGGAUGUGCCCAGAUGGGAUUAGCUAGAAGGUGGGGUAACGGCUCACCUAGGCGACGAUCCCUAGCUGGUCUGAGAGGAUGACCAGCCACACUGGAACUGAGACACGGUCCAGACUCCUACGGGAGGCAGCAGUGGGGAAUAUUGCACAAUGGGCGCAAGCCUGAUGCAGCCAUGCCGCGUGUAUGAAGAAGGCCUUCGGGUUGUAAAGUACUUUCAGCGGGGAGGAAGGGAGUAAAGUUAAUACCUUUGCUCAUUGACGUUACCCGCAGAAGAAGCACCGGCUAACUCCGUG
rnacentral:rRNA from 1 species